rnacentral:rRNA from 1 species
UCCCGACGGUCCGAGUCGCAGCCACAAUUAUUGGGUCUAAAACAUUCGUAGCUUGUCUUGUAAGUUCCUUGUGAAAUCCAACAUCUUAAGUGUUGGGCGUGCAAGGAAUACUGCUUGGCUUGAGACUGGAAGAAGCAAAAAGUAUGUUCGAGGUAGUGGUAAAAUAUGUUAAUCUUGAACAGACUAACAACAGCGAAGGCAUUUUGCUAGUACAGAUCUGACAGUGAGGAAUGAAGGCUAGGGUC